GUUCAUUAUCCCAUCUUGCAGUGGGGCAAACCAGCCCAGAAGGCAAAGGGGUGUGCCCCAUAAUGGCUGUUGGAAAAAAACGAUGGUUCUAAGUUCAGGCCAGCGACACGCCCACCUUCCUUCCCGCUCCCUCCCGCACCCUCCGCUCCUCAAGCUAACAAACGCUCUUCCGCAGCGUCUGGCCAAGACCUCUCUUCAGUCUCGUCUUGAGCUCUGGACCGACACUCCAGGACAUUUGUGGUCAUAUGCUGCCGCCUACAGGGAGUGCUGUGGUACUGCAGAGAGGAGCCCUCAUUUGACGUGGAUCCCAGAGUCACCCCCUAUUCUCACAUUAUGCAGAAGAGAAGCUGAAGUGUGAGGAAGAGGCACCUGGCAAGGACUAGGCAAAGCCCACGGCACACUGGGGGCUGGUUUAGGCUUAGCGUCUUCUCUCAAAGGGGGAAAACACUGGGCUACUUCGGGGACACUGAGCCCAGAGAUGUUAGGUAAGCAUUGGAGACGUGUCAGGUGGAGCGAGAGCACAGGGAGGGAACAACAGACAGGAGGGCCUGUCUAGGAGUCACUUAUUUCACUUCAGAGCAACCUUGCACAGUGUGGGUCCAGUCUAUGUUAUUGCUCAAACAGGAAUAGGGGAUCUGUCAAGGCAAUUGGGAAACUCCCGAAUAAACAGGCCUUGGAAAACAGGAACCAGGAUGGCUCAGAAGAUCCCAGCCAGAGGAACCCAGGAACAAUCUCGGGGGUUCCAACCCUGCUCCAGAGGUGUCUCUGCUUCCGAAGCAAAUCUCUGCCCUGGAGAGUCUGACAGGGCCAGCCUGGAUUACACGGCCACCUUGUCGGGGGGUGCUCCCAUGACUGGCAGGCCCAGAACUGCAAAGUGUCAGACAAAAGUCAUCACCCCAGCAAGACAUGCUGAACAACCCAAAGCAACAGCUGUCCCCAUUUCCCAGGGGAGGCAACUGAGUCUCAGAGGAGUUUGGACAUGGCUGGUGUACAGGUCAGGUUCUUGCAGGUUGCAAGGAAGGGAAACAACCUCGAGUUCAUUAGGAGAUUAGGAAGACCAAAGUUUUAGCCACCCAACCAGGGCUCCCAGAGGCUGGAAGAGUUUCGGGUUACAGCAG
rnacentral:lncRNA from 1 species